rnacentral:rRNA from 1 species
GGACGAACGCUGGCGGCGCGCCUAACACAUGCAAGUCGAACGAGCGAGAGAGAGCUUGCUUUCUUGAGCGAGUGGCGAACGGGUGAGUAACGCGUGAGGAACCUGCCUCAAAGAGGGGGACAACAGUUGGAAACGACUGCUAAUACCGCAUAAGCCCACGACCCGGCAUCGGGUUGAGGGAAAAGGAGCAAUCCGCUUUGAGAUGGCCUCGCGUCCGAUUAGCUAGUUGGUGAGGUAACGGCCCACCAAGGCGACGAUCGGUAGCCGGACUGAGAGGUUGAACGGCCACAUUGGGACUGAGACACGGCCCAGACUCCUACGGGAGGCAGCAGUGGGGAAUAUUGCACAAUGGGGGAAACCCUGAUGCAGCGACGCCGCGUGGAGGAAGAAGGUCUUCGGAUUGUAAACUCCUGUUGUUGAGGAAGAUAAUGACGGUACUCAACAAGGAAGUGACGGCUAACUACGUG